ACGAACGCUGGCGGCGUGCCUAAUACAUGCAAGUCGAACGCUUCUUUCCUCCCGAGUGCUUGCACUCAAUUGGAAAGAGGAGUGGCGGACGGGUGAGUAACACGUGGGUAACCUACCCAUCAGAGGGGGAUGACACUUGGAAACAGGUGCUAAUACCGCAUAACAGUUUAUGCCGCAUGGCAUAAGAGUGAAAGGCGCUUUCGGGUGUCGCUGAUGGAUGGACCCGCGGUGCAUUAGCUAGUUGGUGAGGUAACGGCUCACCAAGGCCACGAUGCAUAGCCGACCUGAGAGGGUGAUCGGCCACACUGGGACUGAGACACGGCCCAGACUCCUACGGGAGGCAGCAGUAGGGAAUCUUCGGCAAUGGACGAAAGUCUGACCGAGCAACGCCGCGUGAGUGAAGAAGGUUUUCGGAUCGUAAAACUCUGUUGUUAGAGAAGAACAAGGACGUUAGUAACUGAACGUCCCCUGACGGUAUCUAACCAGAAAGCCACGGCUAACUACGUG
rnacentral:rRNA from 1 species